rnacentral:rRNA from 1 species
CAGCAGCCACGGUAAUACGUAGGGUGCGAGCGUUAAUCGGAAUUACUGGGCGUAAAGCGUGCGCAGGCGGUGCUGCAAGACCGAUGUGAAAGCCCCGGGCUUAACCUGGGAACUGCAUUGGUGACUGCAGCGCUGGAGUAUGGCAGAGGGGGGUGGAAUUCCACGUGUAGCAGUGAAAUGCGUAGAGAUGUGGAGGAACACCGAUGGCGAAGGCAGCCCCCUGGGCCAAUACUGACGCUCAUGCACGAAAGCGUGGGGAGCAAACAGGAUUAGAUACCCCUGUAGUCCCUGUCUCUUAUAA